rnacentral:rRNA from 1 species
GACAGAAUGCUUAACACAUGCAAGUCUUUGGCGAAGCUGUGCUUGCACAGCCUAGCCAAGGCGGACGGGUGAGUAACGCGUAAGGAACUUGCCCUGCAGUCAGGGAUAACAGACGGAAACGACUGAUAAGACCUGGUAAAGUCAGGUGGACUCAUGUCCAGCCUGAUGAAAAGAGAUGCUGCAGGAGAGCCUUGCGUCCUAUUAGCUUGUUGGUGGGGUAACGGCCCACCAAGGCGAUGAUAGGUAGCCGGCCUGAGAGGGUGGACGGCCACAAGGGGACUGAGAUACGGCCCUUACUCCUACGGGAGGCAGCAG